UACAGUACAUAUGAAUGCACAGUUUAAGAAGUUUUUAGGAGAAACAUUGCUUACAAAAUGUUGGUUGUUGUUCUUAGCUGAUUUUGGCUUUUUGAUUGGUUUUAUUGAGUAUAAUAUGUAAAAUUCAAAUAUUUAAUUAAAAGUGUUGUAAAUUUGAGUAUAUACUAUGGAAAAAUGCACUAGCAUGCUGUUUUUUUGUCCUUUAAUAUGAGAAGGUCAUUGUGCUCAGAUCAAUUCGAGGUUCCAAUUGUGUAGAGAUUCUAUAGUAGCCAAGGGGUGAGGAAUUGUGUCAUUGUUCCAAAUCAAUAUCGACUCCAUAUAACACAAAGAAACUAAGGUCUACAAGGGUGAUAUAGUUGAUUGGAUGUAUCCCGAAGCUUUGUACAAGUUGGUUUCCCUUCAAUCAAUAGAAGCCUGCAAUUACAAUGACACCAAUCUUAUAGGUACAUUGUGCAACAAAUUUUAUAACAAAUCAAUUAGACAUACUAUUUUCCCUCUAACGUGUUGAUUCUUAAAAUAUAUAUUGUAGAUAUUUUGGGGAUUGUUGUACAUGUAGGUAAGGCUUUUGUUUGUAACGAUGACGCAACCCGUAUGCAAGAGGUUGUUGUUCUAGAUAGAAGUUGCGUUGCUGUUAGAUUGAUCCUUAUGAACCAAUUUGUUAGUGAAUAUGAAAACGAGGUUCAACAAAGUGUUGGGCAGUAUAACACACUAUUGGCUUGUGGGGUGUAUGUUAGGAAAAUGAAUGGUGCGAUUUGUACGCAAAUUAAAACAAUUUUCUUAAAAGUGAUAAUAAUGGUUUUCUUAAAAGUAAUAAUAUUAAUUAUGUUUUGUAAUAUUUAUAGAUGAGGUUUUAAUUUAAA